UGAGGUAGAGGAGCGAAUACGAUGAGUAUCUCUUCGAGGCGGUAGCUGAUGACGAGAGAGAAAGGCGGGUUCGCCGAAAUGGUCUUUCGGACACGAGAGAUUGUUGGGUCGGCAUCAAAUAGGUGCCGGACUGUCACCGAGAAAUCGGUGGUGCGCUAUCGGA
rnacentral:ncRNA from 1 species